GGGUACAAUAACAGCCCCCUAUUUGAGUAUCGACAUUGCCUGUAUUGGAGCAACCAAAAUAACGGCUUUUGCCAUUGGGUAGCCAGUGUUUGGCCAAUCAACUGAUUGCGUGACAAUUGUCUAAAUUUCAAAACAGAGUUAAGUCAGUACAUACACGAAGUUCUUAACGAAAUGUUGCUAAAAAUGUGACAAACUGAAAGUUAUAAAAUUAUAGCAUGCAAACGGGAAUACGAAAACGAAAGAACAGGCUGAUAGAGAAGGAGGAACCAGAACCAGCAGCAGGGAUUCCAUUUCAACACACAGCAAAAACAUUUUGUGUGUAUGUGUGCCUGUGCUCCAUGUUCCAAUGACUUUGCCUCAGUAAAGGGGCGGGAGGAGGAUGGAAGUGGAAGUAGGAAAGAACAAUAUCAUCGAUAGCAGUUUUUCACUUCAAUAUUAAAUUCAAAGCAAACCCAAGAGGGGCUUCUCAGCAUGUCCAUGUCCAUCUGUCGGCCAAGCCAGCGGCAGCAGCCAGUUACAUCAUAAGCAUAUGACAUAGAAGUCAUUUUACGUACACGUGUAUGUGUGUAUCUGUUGAAAGGAAGGUGGUCGGAAUCGAAGGGCUGAUCGAAUGAUGGAAUAUGGACAUAGCAAAUGGGACAACAUCAAAUAAAGUUCUAUUAACUUUUUUAAUAGUGGCCAAAUGGGAGAAAUUCCUGUGAGUUGAUUUCUCAUAGAUUUUUAAGUUAAUUUGAAGAUAUGUACAUGUACAAAUGUAAAUAGUUUACACACUCCUUAGACUACUUCAAUAUAUUUAGAUUAGAAUAUAAUCUCUUAAUCUUCGGAAAAACGGAAUCAGAAAAGUAAAUUCUUUAAAAAUAAGAGUAAUCAAUAAAAAUGUAUACCUACAGAGU